UCCCCUGCUAAAAUGGCAAGGCAUAAAGCUGCAGGGGGGGAAGAAAGCCACUCGGCGCGAAAAUUCGCCGAAUCCGGAGGUUUAUCCCCCCUUCUUCCUUCCCCAAACCUCGCUCUGGCUUAAAACCCCCGUCGAAGCCCUUAUCUCCUCUGAUCGUUGCCGUCUCGGUUUCCUCUCUUUCGUCCGCUUUUCUUGCAGUAUGGCGGCGAUGGCCCUCUCCUCUCCUUCGGUGAGACCCGGGGCAUCGUUCCUCGUCGGAGGAUCGGGGAUUCAUACGGCCUCCAGAACCCUAGCUUCGAGAGUGCCUCUAUCUGGAUUCGUGAAGUCUGAGGUGCCCAAGCCAUUGCGAUUUUUUAAUGAAAGCUUGUGCACACCAGCAUUGAAAGAUCCCGCUGUACCUGGCCUUUCAGUAACACAUCAAGAGAAGGAAAUUGUACAGAAGCCUGAUACAAGAAUGAGAAUUUUCUCUGGCACUGCAAAUCUUCCACUUGCACAGGAAGUUGCAAGCUACAUAGGUUUGAACCUUGGCAAAAUUAAUAUUAAAUGCUUUGCUGAUGGGGAGAUAUACGUGCAACUGCAAGAGAGUGUCAGAGGAUGUGAUGUUUUUCUUGUGCAACCAACAUGUGCCCCAGCAAAUGAGAAUCUUAUGGAGCUUCUGGUAAUGAUAGAUGCAUGUAGGAGAGCCUCUGCACGGACCAUUACAGCUGUGAUUCCAUAUUUUGGAUAUGCUAGAGCAGAUAGAAAGACUCAAGGACGUGAAUCCAUUGCUGCCAAACUUGUUGCGAACUUGAUCACAGAAGCUGGAGCCGAUCGAGUUCUUUCUUGUGAUCUCCAUUCUGGACAGGCAAUGGGAUAUUUUGAUAUUUUUGUCGAUCAUGUAUUUGGACAGCCUGUGAUUCUGGAUUACUUGGCUAGUAAGAAAAUUUCUCCAAAGGACCUGGUGGUUGUUUCUCCAGACGUGGGAGGGGUUGCACGAGCCCGUGGUUUGGCCAAGAAGUUAUCAGAUGCACCUUUAGCUAUUGUUGAUAAAAGACGUCAAGGACAUAAUAUCUCUGAGGUUAUGAACUUGAUUGGGGAUGUGAAGGGAAAGGUAGCUGUUCUGGUGGAUGACAUGAUUGACACUGCUGGAACAAUCACCAAUGCGGCAGAUUUGUUGCAGAAGGAGGGUGCAAGUGCAGUUUAUGCAUGCUGCACCCAUGCUGUUUUCAGUCCUCCUGCAAUUGAAAGGCUCUCUGGAGGUCUUUUUCAAGAAGUGAUAGUUACAAACACCAUUCCAGUUGCCGAACAUAAUUAUUUUCCUCAACUGGUUGUUCUGUCUGUGGCAAACCUUCUUGCUGAGACCAUCCGUCGUGUUCAUGGUGAUGGCUCUGUCAGCAGCAUUUUUCAGUGAAAUUAGGAUUAUGGAUGCGUCUCCAUUUGGUUUUGCGCUUGCCAAUUAAAACAGUACGUGAAGACAACCUUUUUUAUUUGAAAGUAUAUUUAAAAAUCUGUGGCUUUUUGAUUUUUUUAAACCUGAAGAGCUUUUUCAUUUGGUAACAAAGUUAUGGACUACAUUUAGAGAUCAGGUUAUCAUAAAUUGAUGGGAGGCAUCUCAAGUUACAGCCUUGACUGCAUCUGGCACGCUUCAGCGGUCAUUGUCAGAACAUUAUGUGGGCAGAAACUGUCAUUUCGUUGGGAAGACCCAAUGAAACUCACUAUAACCCUGAUCCUAUUAUGUAUGUUCCAUAAAAUUUAUCAUUUAUUAUCAGUGGCUACAGAGGAAUGUUCUUAGAUUUGUUGCCUGGUCCUUGGUAAAACAAUCUGAAGUUGUCUGCUUUCCACUUCCGUCUCUGGGUUACCAGACUGAUUUGCUCCCUUCAUAUUUCCUAUCAGAACCCAAAAAGAAACGUUGAGGCAGACAUUUGCAAGUCCACCCUCUGUUUAUCGUCAGACUUAUAGUAGCUUUUGAACAUAAACCACAGCAUUGCACCAUUCUGCCUCCUCCAAGAUCUCGCUCCAGUUCUUAUUGGAUAGAUAUACUGCCUGAAGACUCCAUCACAUUUGACCAAAAAAAAAAAAAGAAAAGAAAAGAAAAAAAAGACUACAUCAAGAUCCAGCAUUGCUCUGGUAGAAUUCUGUCAUCGAGGGCAGGCUCACAGAUGUUAAAUUACGGACCUGGAAUGUAGAGGAAUGUAGAUGAUGCUUAAUUUCUUCAGAGGAGCUGAAUUCCAUUUCCAAUGGUGUCCAUUAACCAGUAAGGAUCAUAGGUGCAUCUGGUUGGUACAGACAACCGUUGAAGCAUGAAAUUGCCAUCAGGCUUAAGUCGCAAGCUGGAACCUUUCUUUAGGGUAAUCUGGGUGAGUUAGACAUGUAAAAACAGUCUGAAGCUCUGUCAUUCAAUAACGCCUCUGGAUCUUGCAAGGACAAAGUUUCUGGUGUCAAGUUGUAAAAAGCAUAUGAGGCGUCAGUGAAUUAGCCCUCCAGGCUGCCUAGCUAGUGUGGUUUGUGAGCAAACUGUCCAUUGGUGGUCAGUUCAAGGUUGGCUCUGCUCUCCAUGGGAUUGUCUUCCUUCAGAACAUAUCAGAAAGACUUUAGACAAAUUACGCUUACGAUCCACCCUCUUGAUUCUUUUUCAAAUUACACUUACAAUCUACCCUCUUGAUUCUUUUUUCUGUGGUAUAAUUUUAUGUAUUUUCUUCCAGUUGCAAGUACAGAUACUGCAAAGAGUUUAGGACUUUUUCCCUUAUUUUUUCCUCUCUUUUUUUAAAUCCAAUAACUGAGCAGGCAGUUCGGCUGA